GGAGUUAGAUAGAUAUUCGUAAUUUAAAAGGAUUCUUUUCUUUCUUACCUGCCUACACAGAAAUCUAAGGUUCAAAGGUCUGGGAUGAAAGUUUCAGUGACCUCGUGGGAGGACAAGGAAGACAUGAUGAGGAUUAUAACAGCUUCUACUGAUAACUAGUCCUUUUGUCAAGAGAAGCCUUGAUUUUGUUCAUCCUCUUCAAAGUAUACCCUUCCCAGGAAACUGGGACUCUAAACUCCUGGGGGAAAAUGAAUUCUAAGCCACCAAAAAAUUGAAACUGCUCAAAUGUCCAUCAAGAGUAAAAUGGAAAAAUAAUUGCAGAACAUUCACCAGAUGGAUUACUAUAUAGCAAUGGAAAUAAGCAACCUAUACUAACUCUUAUCAGCAUGGAUGAAUCUCCCAGAAUAAUGUGCAUGACUCUCUCAAAAUGAUCUUGGCGCCAUAAUACAUAACCACUUACAAAAGAGUUCAUAUUGUAUUUUUCCAUUUACAUAAAGCAUGCAAAACUUACAUAUCUAGAGAGUUGCUACCCUUUGGUUGCAGUGGGGAUGAUGAGGCAGGGUUGAUGAGGAUGAUGAUGACAGAUGGCCCAAGGGGAGCUUUUAUAGUGUGAUACAGUUAGUUUGAGCACUAUUGGUACUGACACAUUUCUUAAAAGUCCAAAAGGAAUAAGAGUAAGAUAAAAAAUGGUAUGUGA